rnacentral:SRP_RNA from 1 species
GCCGGGUGCAGUAGCAUGUGACUGUAGUCCCAGCAACUCAGGAGGCUGAGGUGGGACGAUCGCUUGAGCCCAGGAGUUCUGGGCUGUAGUGUGCUAUGCCAAUUGGGUGUCCACGCUAAGUUUGGCAUCAAUAUGGUGACCUCCUGGGAGCAGGGGACCACCAGGUUGCCCAAGGAGAGGUGAACUGUGCCAGGUUGGAAACAGAGCAGGCCAAAACUCCCGUGCUGAUCAGUGGUGGGAUCGUGCCUGUGAAUAGCCACUGCACUCCAGCCUGGGCAACAUAGCGAGACCUCGUCUCU